rnacentral:rRNA from 1 species
AUUGAACGCUGGCGGCAUGCCUUACACAUGCAAGUCGAACGGCAGCACGGGAGCAAUCCUGGUGGCGAGUGGCGAACGGGUGAGUAAUACAUCGGAACGUGCCCAAUCGUGGGGGAUAACGCAGCGAAAGCUGUGCUAAUACCGCAUACGAUCUACGGAUGAAAGCAGGGGAUCGCAAGACCUUGCGCGAAUGGAGCGGCCGAUGGCAGAUUAGGUAGUUGGUGAGGUAAAGGCUCACCAAGCCGUCGAUCUGUAGCUGGUCUGAGAGGACGACCAGCCACACUGGGACUGAGACACGGCCCAGACUCCUACGGGAGGCAGCAGUGGGGAAUUUUGGACAAUGGGCGAAAGCCUGAUCCAGCCAUGCCGCGUGCAGGAUGAAGGCCUUCGGGUUGUAAACUGCUUUUGUACGGAACGAAACGGCCUUUUCUAAUAAAGAGGGCUAAUGACGGUACCGUAAGAAUAAGCACCGGCUAACUACGUGCCAGCAGCCGCGGUAAUACGUAGGGUGCAAGCGUUAAUCGGAAUUACUGGGCGUAAGGCGUGCGCAGGCGGUUAUGUAAGACAGUUGUGAAAUCCCCGGGCUCAACCUGGGAACUGCAUCUGUGACUGCAUAGCUAGAGUACGGUAGAGGGGGAUGGAAUUCCGCGUGUAGCAGUGAAAUGCGUAGAUAUGCGGAGGAACACCGAUGGCGAAGGCAAUCCCCUGGACCUGUACUGACGCUCAUGCACGAAAGCGUGGGGAGCAAACAGG